rnacentral:lncRNA from 1 species
GAGACAUUGAAAAAGUCUCCAUUGUGCAGUCUUCAGAGAUAUUGUUCCCAAGAAAUGCAGGAUAUCCAAAAUUUCUGCCCCAAGAAAUGUGAAGCAUCAGAGGCACUUACACUUCAGAAAUCUUUUCAGAAUAAGGAAGAUCCUCUUUGUUCCCACGGACUAGUGGAGCUUCAGCCUCUUGACCCUCAAGAGAAAGGAGAUCUACAAAGCCCACCACUUCUGAGAAGUCUGCUGAGGAAAUCUAAGACUCUUGAAGAUGAAGGACAAAUAAGGAGCAAUGUUUUCCAGAUCCAGAAUGUCCAAAGUCCAGAAAGCCCCCAAAAUACACUUGCUCUGAAACAGACAUCAUGGUCAUUUCCACUUCAGGAACUUAAAUGUCAGAAGUCACAUAAGAUCCAGGAGCUAAGUAAGUUAGAAGUUCUUCAGCAUCAGGAGAUAUUAAACGUUGUUGAAGAUACUCAAGAAUACUCAGGAAAUUUUGAUUCCCUCACAGAAGCUCAGAAGAAGGUGGUGAGAACAAAUGAAGCCCAGAAAUCCUUAUUUGAGAUCAAGGACUCCGCUCAGGAACAAAAAGAUGCAUCAUCUCUAGCUUUAAAUGUAUGCUUGUCAGAGAAACUUCCUCCUCAUGAAGUCCCACAGUUUGGGAUUAAACUACUUCAGGAACUAGGGAGGCUGCACAAUGAAUUAGAAGCUCUUAGACCUGGAGAAGCAAAGGAUGAAGAGAUCAAAGAUUUUGGUGAACCUAAAGCAGGCAUGGCAGUCAAAUCCUGGGGAAGCAUGAGUCCCCAUUUCCAUCAGUGGAGAGAUGCACCACAAAGCCAGUUCUCUGAAAUAUGUGAUGUAAUGCAAGGGCAACAGAAGACGCUGCAGUCUCUCCAAAAUGAACAAAAAAUCCAAGGACUUCAUCAGUCCCAAGGAAUAUUGGAAAAGGAAUCAGACAGAAACUUGGAACCAGCAAGACUGGAAGCAUCACACAUAGUCCAACCACAAAAAUGUUUGUCAGAGCCAUCUCUUGCUACUGGCUGUCAUGGUUUUAUCAUUCCCCAUACUCUUCAGUCCCACAAAAAUGUAAAGCAAGACAGUUCUUGCCUUCAGAAAUGCCCACAGAUUAAAGCUAGGAGGAAGCUGGCACAGAAGGCGUCAAGACCCACAAAGACCCAACGACAAUUACAGGGUGCGCUGCAGAGGAAGUCAAAAUGUUUUGAAUAUCAACAGCUGUCAGAAACAGAAUGUGUCCACUGCACCCAGGCAUGGAGACAGGCACAAAAUCUCCAUUCCCAGGAUGAGCAAGUGGACACUCCACAGGUGCUCUCCUCCCAAGAGCUGCUGCCUGACCACUCACUAGCCCUUAUGCCUGAGGGAACUUCCCCAAAGAAUCAAGAAAUCCUUGAGAAGUGGGAAACUGAGGACUCAAGCAGCCUUCUUCCUCAAAAUCAGACGGAACUACAGGUAGCUGCUCAUGUCCAGAUAGAGCAGGUAUGGAAAGACCAAGUGUUUCAAAGAGAGAUGGGGACCCUUUCACCUCAGUGGCUGGAAGCAGCACAUGCUUUUCAAAAUCCAGAAUGGAGAGACACAGAAACAAUGUCAGGUGAAGAGAUGAUACUCUUGGGCCCUGGAAUAUGUCCACUGGACCAGAGAAAUGUUGAGUCUGUAGCCAUGAGCAGGAGUUUGGAAGCAUACCCCUUGGGGGACCAGGAGGGAACUGAAACCUGGAAGUCUAGCUCUGUGACUGCACUCUCUCCACCCAGCCCUGGAAGUCAGACAGAGAAGCUUAUGUCAGCACCAGCAUCUCUCAGUGUGGGUGUGUCUAGGGAGAGCUCUGUCUGUCUGAUCCACCCUGGUGGCAGCUGUGGAUUCUCUUGGACACAGCACCUUCCACAGGAGGAUAAGCAAGCAUAUGGUGAAAGGGCCACAGAUCCAAAACUAUUAGAGAGUGAACAAGGCACAACCUGGCAACAGGUAAGAGUUGGUAUUUUUG